rnacentral:ncRNA from 2 species
UUUUCAUCUAACGGAAUAGGUUACACAUAACGUGCAUUAAUAGGGAAUCUGGUGCAAAUCCAGAGCUGUCGCGCAACUGUAAGUAACACAAAACAAAGCUUUAACCGUAGUAAUCCACUGUCUUCACAAUCAAGAUGGGAAGGAUGGUAAAAGCUGUUAUAAGUCAGGAGACCUGCCUGUUCCGCUAGGACUUU